UAGGGAAUCUUCCGCAAUGGACGCAAGUCUGACGGAGCAACGCCGCGUGAGUGAAGAAGGAUUUCGGUUCGUAAAACUCUGUUGUUAGAGAAGAACAGCGCAUAGAGUAACUGUUAUGCGUGUGACGGUAGCUAACCAGAAAGCCACGGCUAACUACGUGCCAGCAGCCGCGGUAAUACGUAGGUGGCAAGCGUUGUCCGGAAUUAUUGGGCGUAAAGCGAGCGCAGGCGGUCAAUUAAGUCUGAUGUGAAAGCCCCCGGCUCAACCGGGGAGGGUCAUUGUAAACUGGUUGACUUGAGUGCAGAAGAGGAGAGUACAAUUCCAUGUGUAGCGGUGAAAUGCGUCCAUAUAUGGAGGAACACCUGUUGCGAAGGCGACUCUCUCUUCUUUAACUGACGCUGAGUCUCGAAAGCGUGUGUAGCACACCGG
rnacentral:rRNA from 1 species